UUAAUCGUUAUAGACAUGCAAUUUCCUAGAUAUUAAUACAUAUGUUUUUCAGAAAUUGAAAAAAAAAAUACCUCUUACAAAGUGGUUGUCAAAGUUGAUGCAAGGAAAUGUAAACGGUCCAAUCAAAAACCGUAGUUUACAUAUCUUCUAGAUAGUACGACCCGACUAUAAAGCUUACUACAGACAUAUCUGCGUCGCACUGAACUAUUUGACACGCUUACGUUCUAACCAAGCAUACAGAAAUAUCUCACUACUUUUUCAACCACAAGACAGAAUCAGUAGAAACAUGUCUGGAAGAGGUCAAGAACAAGCUAGUAACGACAACAAGUCAGCACAGUGUAAUCCAACAAGCACUAAAUUUGAAGGACAUCAGGCUGGUUAUACUGGAACCGGGACUAAGCCCGACCUUGACAACCAUGGAAAGCAACUGAAUCCAAACAAUGAGGAACAUAAGGGAUCGAAAAAAACCUGAUUUUUUCACGCAUUUUGUUAUGUAAAUCUAUGCGAGACACGUACUGUUUCAGAAUUUGUUCAAUAAAAAUAUUUUAGAUUAA